GUCGGGUUAGCUCAGUUGGUACGAGCGUAGGUCUCAUAAUCCUAAGGUCGUGAGUUCGAUCCUCACACUCGACA
rfam:Dictyostelium purpureum unplaced genomic scaffold DICPTscaffold_86, whole genome shotgun sequence.